CCUACGGGUGGCAGCAGUGAGGAAUAUUGGUCAAUGGACGAGAGUCUGAACCAGCCAAGUAGCGUGAAGGAUGACUGCCCUAUGGGUUGUAAACUUCUUUUAUAUGGGAAUAAAACGUUCCACGUGUGGGAUUUUGUAUGUACCAUAUGAAUAAGGAUCGGCUAACUCCGUGCCAGCAGCCGCGGUAAUACGGAGGAUCCGAGCGUUAUCCGGAUUUAUUGGGUUUAAAGGGAACGUAGGUGGAUUGUUAAGUAAGUUGUGAAAGUUUGCGGCUCAACCGUAAAAUUGCAGUUGAAACUGGCAGUCUUGAGUACAGUAGCGGUGGGCGGAAUUCGUGGUGUAGCGGUGAAAUGCUUAGAUAUCACGAAGAACUCCGAUUGCGAAGGCAGUUCACUGGACUGCAACUGACACUGAGGCUCGAAAGUGUGGGUAUCAAACAGGAUUAGAUACCCCAGUAGUC
rnacentral:rRNA from 1 species